UCGGAGCGGGGGGGGGCGGCGGGACCGGCCCCGGGAUCCGGAUCGGGAUCGGGGUCAGGAUUGGGACCGGCAUGGCGGACCGACGGGACGGGGGGGCGGGGGACUGGGGGAGGGGAGUAGAUGAUGACCCUGCGCUUUCCGCACCGUCCCCCGCCUCGGGCCCGAGCGGCCCCGUGGAAAAAAAAAAAAAAAAAAAGCCAUAAAUCCCGCCCCGCCCGGCAGGAAUUCCUCAGCAGCGUCACCCAGCAAUGCCCCUUUUGUCCGCCCGGCCCGGCCCGGCCCCGCCACAGCCCUGCGCAGGGCUGGUACCCGGCCGGAAACGGCCCCGGCCACGUUUUCUGCCCAGAAAACUGCUGGAUCCCUGUCCCCGUUUGUGCUCCCGCUGUUCGCAGCCCCCGGUGAUCCCAGCCUCGCUCGGCACCGGGAAAGAGAGCUUUCCGACCGAAAUCCCCGUCCCUGCCUUUCAUGGUCGCGCGUGUUCGGCGCAGGAUAAAUGGAGGCUGCAGCCUUCCCUAUAGACGAGGGGCGCGCAAAUGGCUUUGUCAUGCAAAUGUGGCUCUGAGCCACCUUCUUGUAAAGCCACUUAAUGCCGAGCAGCCAGUGAUCCUCGCCCGCCCGUCAGGCAGCGCCUGCCCUGUCCUUGAAGGAACGGAAAUGGAGGCACUGGCACAGAUGCGUGGUCCCUGCCUCCAUGCUGGAUCGGGAUGACCUCACAGCGCAGGGAGAAGCCUCCCUCCCCUUCCCCCACAGAGGUCUCUCUCUCUUCCGCGAAACUAAACUAGUUUCCUGCCAGCCUUUCCCUGCUGCUCCCGGAAUACCUCCCCUGUUCCUCUCCGUUCAAACGCCCGGUAAUUACCUGCAUGUACUGGGUUUCUCCCGUGUCCUGAAACAUUUUAUUUCCUUUUAGCAUGUCGUCCUCGCUUGGCAUUAACUUUCGACAACAGCCAGCAGAGUGUGCUGUGAACGCUGUGAAAAGAAUAUCCUGCUUCUGGGAAAUUUUUAUAUAUUUACAUAUAUGUACAGAAAUGCAGAUGAAGACAUUUUAAGUGGUUCUAAUACUUGCACGGGUGGUAUGUAGUUCCUCCCAUCAAUUAAAAUACUUCUCUUGUCGCAGAUCACACAACCUCUUCCUUAAAAAUUAAUAGCCAAGUCAUACUAAACCGUCUGCUUUCAGCAAGAUUGCUUUCCAGUGUUUGUAUAAAGUUGGAAAAGUGCCACAAUGGAGAUGUCCAAAUACCUUUCACAGUCAGAGAGAAGGAUCUAGAACACAAGGAUCAGUCUGACUGGACAAUCAAAGCAGAAUAUUCUCCCCAGCUCUGCUUCUGAUCAGAAUGAAUCAAAUACAGCGCUCCUAAUUUUCAUGGUCGUGAGAAGGGAGAGAAGCCAAGCAAAGGUGCAGGAUGUUACGCUGAAACACGUUCUAAUCUCAACCCCACGAGACAAAAACUGGAAGGAAGGAGUUUGGAUCAUUUUCCUGGGGGCAGCAGAAAUAGGUGAUACAAAAGCACUGGAGGAGAAUGGGGCAUCUGGAGACCUUGCCAGGAAGGCUCACCACAUGCUGCCUUCCAGCAGAGCCUUCUGCUCCCCAGGAUUUCUCCCCUCAUAACCAAAAUGCACCAGAAAUGAUGAUGACGACCUAAAUAU